rnacentral:rRNA from 1 species
GAUGAACGCUAGCGACAGGCUUAACACAUGCAAGUCGAGGGGCAGCACGUCUUCGGAUGGUGGCGACCGGCGCACGGGUGAGUAACACGUAUGCAACCUACCUUUAACACGGGGAUAGCCCGGAGAAAUCCGGAUUAAUACCCGAUGAUACAGGGAUGCCGCAUGGCAAUAUUUGUUAAAGAUUUAUUGGUUAAAGAUGGGCAUGCGUAGGAUUAGGUAGUUGGUUGAGGUAACGGCUCACCAAGCCUACGAUCUUUAGGGGAACUGAGAGGUUUAUCCCCCACACUGGUACUGAGACACGGACCAGACUCCUACGGGAGGCAGCAGUGAGGAAUAUUGGUCAAUGGUCGAGAGACUGAACCAGCCAAGUCGCGUGAAGGACGACGGUAUUAUGUAUUGUAAACUUCUUUUGUAAGGGAAUAAAAAAGGCCACGUGUGGCUUCCUGUAUGUACCUUACGAAUAAGCAUCGGCUAACUCCGUGCCAGCAGCCGCAGUAAUAC